CUGAUGUGUCAUGGAGAAUGGGCAGCA
rnacentral:piRNA from 1 species